rnacentral:rRNA from 1 species
UACGGGGGGAGCAAGCGUUGUUCGGAAUUACUGGGUGUAAAGGGUUCGUAGGCGGUGCGGCAAGUUGGGAGUGAAAUCUCUGGGCUUAACCCAGAGGCUGCUUCCAAAACUGCUGUGCUUGAGUGUGGGAGAGGCGCGUGGAAUUGCAGGUGUAGCGGUGAAAUGCGUAGAUAUCUGCAGGAACACCCGUGGCGAAAGCGGCGCGCUGGACCACUACUGACGCUGAGGAACGAAAGCUAGGGGAGCAAACAGG